rnacentral:rRNA from 1 species
GAGGGGCAGCAUUUUAGUUUGCUUGCAAACUAAAGAUGGCGACCGGCGCACGGGUGAGUAACACGUAUCCAACCUGCCGAUAACUCGGGGAUAGCCUUUCGAAAGAAAGAUUAAUAUCCGAUAGUAUAUUAAAACCGCAUGGUUUUACUAUUAAAGAAUUUCGGUUAUCGAUGGGGAUGCGUUCCAUUAGCUUGUUGGCGGGGUAACGGCCCACCAAGACUACGAUGGAUAGGGGUUCUGAGAGGAAGGUCCCCCACAUUGGAACUGAGACACGGUCCAAACUCCUACGGGAGGCAGCAGUGAGGAAUAUUGGUCAAUGGACGAGAGUCUGAACCAGCCAAGUAGCGUGAAGGAUGACUGCCCUAUGGGUUGUAAACUUCUUUUAUAUGGGAAUAAAGUAUUCCACGUGUGGGAUUUUGUAUGUACCAUAUGAAUAAGGAUCGGCUAACUCCGUGCCAGCAGCCGCGGUAAUACGGAGGAUCCGAGCGUUAUCCGGAUUUAUUGGGUUUAAAGGGAGCGUANGUGGAUUGUUAAGUCAGUUGUGAAAGUUUG